rnacentral:lncRNA from 1 species
CCUAUACAAUCAGGACCAGAUCUCAGUAACAUACACAAAUCGCAACUUCAUUGAUAAAAUUCAUCAUAAACAAUGAUAAUCAACCUGACAGCGUUUUAGUAAUGAACUGAGAUUAAAAAAUAAUAAUUAUUAUCAGGUUUUACUUGAAUUUUGUGGCGGAAGAGGUGUCCAAUGAAGUAAGGAAGCGAGACACCAACGGAUGCAGCUGAAAUAAUGAGAAGAAAGCCGUAGCCGUAACCAAAGGUCAUCCCAGCGAUCCACAUGGAGGGAGUAGAGGGAAGAAGUAUAGUCGGGAACACAGCCACGGAUGCAAAGACAAGAAGACCGCACACUGGAUGUGUGAAAGUCCUUAUCUCCCAUUUUAUAAUUGGGAUAAGCUCCUGCCAAAACCCAACCAAGUGGAUAACAGUUCCUCUAGUUAGCAAAAACAAAUAAAACACACACAGAUGAUCUCUAAUGCAAGAACUAUUGUAUGACCACUAACUAAGAGACAUGCAUUGGGUUGUAAUAAAGAACAAACCUUGUCCAUGAUUAAAGGACCGAGCCAUCUGUAAGAAACGAAGGCCAAGGAAGCAAGGAAAGAGAAUAAAAGAGCAAGCUUGGCCCAGAACCAAAACGGCGACGUAGCAGCCUCCUUUACUUCUUCUUCUUCUUUCUCUUCCUGCCCUGAUGAUGAUGAUGAUGAUUCGUGACCCUCACUCAGUUUCACAUAAGCCCCUUUCUCGACGUCUUUGUCAUCGGCUUGAAGUCUCGUCGGCAGCAAAAGAACCGCCUUUUCGUCUUCCGGACACGUCAUUGGAACACAAUCCAGAGACGGAAGGAGUCUAAUCGAGUGGAUUCCCCCGAUCCAGUGAUCGGAGAAGUAGAGCUUGCUUGGCGGAGAAGAAGAAUGCAAUUGAGAGACGGAGCCAAUUAAUUUGGCAAUUUUGCAACUGAGCAAGGUUUUAUUCUUGAGAAGGGAGAUUGUGUAUUCUUCUUCUUCUUUGCUUGUAAGCGAUUACCCUACACGGGUACAUUAGUCGCUUUCUUUCUCUUACACAUGUUUUCCACCAAUCACUUACUUUUAUUUUAUUUUUUUUUGUAAAAAAACGAAAAGUAACACCCAAUGCUGUUUUAUCUUUUCACUAUUUGAAUUUUACAUUUUUUAUUGUUUCACAAUCUAAAAUUUACAUUUUUUAACAAUGGAAGUUUUGAACCUCGUGCCGUAAUAUCUUCCAAAUCUUGAAAUUAACUUCUAAAUAUUUCGAUUUAAAAAAUAACAUUUUGUCUCAAAAGUGAUUUUAUAAAUUUAAUAGUUUAAUUAACAUGAGAAAAAUACAUUAUGAUAUCACUAAAAUUUUUUUUGUCACAAAUAUAGAUUCUAAAUAUCAAAUUGACCAAAAUAUUUGAUUAAAGAGGUAAAUAUACACUUAUACUCUUAAAACUAACUAAUUCAAACUUUAUGAUUUAGAGUUAAAGGGGGAUGAUCUCAGAUUAAGGAUUAAAAUUUUAUAAAAUCAAAAAAUAUAUUAAAAAAUUGAAAACAAAAAUUAAAAAAAUAGUUUCAAAAAGUAUUUCAAAUUACAAAAACAAAAUUUGAAAAAACAAUUCAAAAAAAAAAUUGUUAAAAAUUUUAAAUUUAAAAACAUAUAAUCUAAAACAAUAUAAUUUUAUUUUAUUUGCAUUUAUAUAUCUAGAAUAUUAUGAUCUUUUUUCUCUAUUAAAUGAAACAUUUUGGUUAUUUUUCUCUUUAAAAUAUAUUUUUGUUACAAAAACAUAAGAGAAAUUUUCAUGUAUUAAUAUUACUACUGCCGUUUUUGUCACAUGUACUAAAAUUUGCUUUCUUUUGUCUUUUGUGAAAACAAUAAAAGGACGGUUCGAUAAGUAAACCCGGUUUAAAAUUAAACCAAAAUCCAAAUCUCAGCCAUGGCGAUUGCUUCAACCUCCACUCUUAUCUUCUCCUGCGCCAAACCCGAUCUCCGCCCAAUCCCCUCCCAUUUUCGUUCUUCUUCUCCUCCUCUUACAAGUCAGUUCCGUAUCCCUAGCCUAACCCAUGACCCGCUUUCUCUGUCGGGUCUUAUCGGAACCGGUUUGGUGGCUGCAACGUUCUUGGCGGGAGGACCAGAUAGUACUGCUUUGGCGGCGGUUGAUUCUCUUCAGCUAAGCGAACCGGCGAAUGCGUUGUCUUUACCCACUUGGGCUGUUCAUGUUUCCAGCGUUGUCGAAUGGUUACUCUCCUUCUUCCUUGCUCUAAUUGAUUCAACUUCCAUCUUAGAAAAAGAUUUGAACUUUUGAUCUGUAGUGUUACGAGAUAGUGUUUGCUGUUGUGGGUUUCUCGAUACCGGUCUAAAGAUUGAGACUUUGCGUUAAAAGAUCGAGACUUUGUUUGUGUGUUUGAUUUGAUGUUUUGUAGGAUUACGGCGAUGGCGUUGGUAUGGAAAUAUGGAGAAAGAAAGGGUUACGAGUCAUGGAAAGGUCUCUCAUGGGGAAUGGUUAGACCGUCUCUAACCUGAUUCAAACGGUUACUUCCUAGAUUCUUGUAUUUUCAUAUCUUUUUUUGUUUCUGUGUUGUUCCUUGUUCAGGUGCCUUUGCUUGGUGGAGCUCUUUGCGCAUGCACAUGGCAUUUCUUUUACAAUGCUGAAUCUCUUGAGGUGUGAAUUAAACCUCUUUUAUUCUCAUUUGGUGAAACACUGAUGAAUGAAUUGGACUAAGCUCUUAAACUCAAUGUUGUGAUUAUGGGCUUGCUUCAUUGUUAGGUGUUGGUCGCGCUUCAGGGAGCACUAACUGUGAUUGGUAAUAUUACUUUGUGCAUCGCUGCUUUUCGAAUCAACAAGUCUGGUGAUCUUUCACAUCUUGGAGCAGACCUGAACUGUGUAAGGAGUGAGACAAGGAGAUGUUUCAAGAGAUAAAAGCAAGUCAAGAGUUUCUCACGUGAGGGUUUUAUUGCAACAAUGCUUCUUCCUCUUUCUUCAUGGUCUCCAGCUGUCUUUUCGCAUACUUUGUGAUGAGAACCGUUGUAGCCACAGUUCCUAAAAAGCCGAGAAUGUUGAGAAUAAUCUGUGUAACUGAGAGCCCGUGUUUAUCUGCAGAAGAUGCUUCUGCUAAUGUCUUUACAAGAUUCCCUCUGCAACAUAGAUUCAACAGUGAAAAAGGGGACUUAAAAAGCUUCUAGAAGGAGCUAGAUGCUAUUCAGAGAUAGGAAAGCUGACUUACGUAUAGAUAGCAACAAAGAUCUCAGGGACCAUGCCCAAGAGAGAUCCAGUGAUGUAAGGACAGUACUUAACACGAGUUGCAACAGAACAGUAGUUAUAAAGAAUGUAAGGAAACGGAGAGAUCCGGAUUAAAGUCACUGCUCGAAACUGGUGAAACCAGUUCCCUUCACCCGCAGCUCUUAGCACCACUGCUUGAUCAGGAUAUCUUUCCAACCAUCCCUAUACAAUCAGGACCAGAUCUCAGUAACAUACACAAAUCGCAACUUCAUUGAUAAAAUUCAUCAUAAACAAUGAUAAUCAACCUGACAGCGUUUUAGUAAUGAACUGAGAUUAAAAAAUAAUAAUUAUUAUCAGGUUUUACUUGAAUUUUGUGGCGGAAGAGGUGUCCAAUGAAGUAAGGAAGCGAGACACCAACGGAUGCAGCUGAAAUAAUGAGAAGAAAGCCGUAGCCGUAACCAAAGGUCAUCCCAGCGAUCCACAUGGAGGGAGUAGAGGGAAGAAGUAUAGUCGGGAACACAGCCACGGAUGCAAAGACAAGAAGACCGCACACUGGAUGUGUGAAAGUCCUUAUCUCCCAUUUUA